ensembl:lncRNA
GGGUUAGAGUUAGGGUUAGGGUUAGGGUUAGGGUUAGGGUUAGGGUUAGGGUUAGGGUUAGGGUUAGGGUUAGGGUUAGGGUUAGGGUUAGGUUAGGGUUAGAGUUAGGGUUAGGGUUAGGGUGAGGGUUAGGGUUAGGGUUAGGGUUAGGGUUAGGGUUAGGGUUAGGGUUAGGGUUAGGGUUAGGGUUAGGUUAGGGUUAGGUUAGGUUAGGGUUAGGUUAGGGUUAGGGUUAGGGUUAGGGUUAGGGUAGGGUUAGGGUUAGAGUUAGGGUUAGGUUAGGUUAGGGUUAGGGUUAGGGUUAGGGUUAGGGUUAGGUUAGGGUUAGGGUUAGGGUUAGGGUUAGGGUUAGGGUUAGGGUUAGGGUUAGGGUUAGGGUUAGGGUUAGGGUUAGGGUUAGGGUUAGGGUUAGGGUUAGGGUUAGGGUUAGGGUUAGGGUUAGGGUUAGGGUUAGGGUUAGGGUUAGGGUUAGGGUUAGGGUUAGGGUUAGGGUUAGGGUUAGGUUAGGGUUAGUUAGGGUUAGGGUUAGGGUUAGGGUUAG